rnacentral:rRNA from 1 species
AGUCGCCACGGGAAUACGUAGGGGGCAAGCGUUGUCCGGAAUCAUUGGGCGUAAAGAGCGUGUAGGCGGUUCGGUAAGUCCGCUGUGAAAGUCCAGGGCUCAACCCUGGAAUGCCGGUGGAAACUGUCGAACUAGAGUCCGGAAGAGGCGAGUGGAAUUCCUGGUGUAGCGGUGAAAUGCGCAGAUAUCAGGAGGAACACCAAUGGCGAAGGCAGCUCGCUGGGACGGUACUGACGCUGAGACGCGAAAGCGUGGGGAGCAAACAGGAUUAGAUACCCGCGUAGUCCCUGUCUCUUAUACA